GUAGUUCCCUGAAGGAUAUCUGGGAGUUGUAGGCUGGGCUGCAGUGCAUGAUGGGAGACAGGAAGUAAGAUAUAAGAGAGCUUUCCUUAGUGUGGAAGGAGAGAAGUGGAGUACCUUCAGAAGGGGGAAAGGCCUAUGGGGAGCUAAGAUGUAGCUGGACCCUGGAGAGGUAUAAAGUAAGAGAAUGAAAAAUGCAGUGAUACAAUAUAGCAGUGUUGUGAGUAGACAGCAACUGUAGGCACUGAUCCCUGUUUAGUGCUGGGGCUUCCAGAAACAGUGGGAGGAAACCCCUUAAUAAAGUGGGGAGAUGAGGACCGGCCCUUGUAGAAAGAUUGGCUUGUUCUGGAUGGAUUCAUAUUGAUUUGGCUAGAGGAUCAAAUCAUUCUACCAGUCUGGGGAAGACCAGCAGCAAGAGGGAAACCGAGGCACCAGCUGCAACCUGAUGCUGGCACAAGAAACGAAGUUUUGUCAAAAUCGACACGUUCCUGCAGCAAGAUUCAGUUUCGACAAAAUGCAUUUUACAGCAGAAAAAUGUUCAGUCAGAAAAUUUUUUUGAUCAGCUGUACUCAAGACUAAAGCAUGAUUUGCUCUGGGGACCUUGGUCAGAAGAGUGGCUCUUGUUAGCAGACUGAGGAAUCAGGUGCCUGAGACUGCUUGAAACUGAACCAGCUUUCGUGCGCACCUUCUGCGUGAUAUAAAGUGGCAUCUAUGCAAAGUAUUUAGAAUACUGUUCAAAUUUCUGUGCCUUCCUUUGAGUACAAAAUAGAAUCAUAUUCUGUCUGCAAACAAAGCAUUUGCAAUCAACCUCUCCACUUCAAGGCAUAUUUUCAGCAUAAUAGCUUCGCAGUGCAAGUCCUUGUCAGAGAGAGUGGAUCAGAAGUCCAGGUGCACAAAGAGAGGAGAGAGAGAAUCCAUCACCCUCAUCAGAGAAGAAGGGAAACAGCCAGUUUAGCUGCAAAAGGAGUGGGAGAAACACGGUCAGGUCACACAGAAUUCCUCUUCACAAGAAAUGGAGACCCUGCUGAGCUAUUUCCCAGCCAGAGCCCCAGAAAUCAGUUCUGAUGUCACUGUAACGUUAGAUGCCUGAUUAAAUCAGUCUGAAGGACAACUAUAUUAGAGUCUUGCAUAAUGUAACACAGAGAUGAUUCAAAGGAAUGGCAUCCAAGAUUGCAUGAAUAAGAGUGUAGACAUCACCCACUGGGAACUGUCAGUGCUAUCUUCAGCAGGUUUUCAAACAUCAAGUAUCCUGCAAUCGUCUUCCCUUUGUGAGUGUUUUGUAAAGGCCAGAUUGUUUCAACUUUGAUUUUACUAUCCAGGAAGAAUGGCAGGGUUCUGCAUUCAGUUUAUCUUGCUGUAAACAACCGCACGAAGUUCAGCACAACAGUGGACCAGGGCCAUUGAAUCUAAAGCUUGAGUCAGAACAUAUUCAGUUGGGUUCGAUAUGGUGUGAAGUGGGCUAUUCCCAUAUUUGUAUUUAGACUCAACCACUGUGCUCAUAGCUGACUAGCACUGGUUAAGCUUAUAAAACUCAUGCACAGUUAAGGCUAACAUCCUAAAAUGAAUCUGACUUGUUUCUGUCAAAAGAAAAUCAAUGGUUUCAUUCUCCCAUAACCUCACAGUUCUGUUUAACAAUCCAAACAUUGCUGCUGUUUUUAAAUUCAUACCACAUUAGUAGUCCUUCAGGUUCUUAUUAAGGUAUUUGAUCCAUUAUUUAUUUUUAUAAUAUGCUCUGAUCUCUAAAGUUAAGAAAGAAAGUCGAGGAACAUAACAUAGGCCCUAAUCUUGCAAGGAUCUCCGUGAAGUUAGCCCCGUAUGUCUUUCAUGUGAUACUCCUGAGCGCAUUCUGCACCAAAAAAAUAAAAAGUCUGCACC